GUCACAGUUACAGCCUAAUGUCACUGAAUGGGGUGUCAAGAGCUGCGUAUUCUGAGCCCUCUGUAUUCUGCCAAGAUCCCAGGCACUGGAGCUGGUGCUGAGUGGAUGGCAGGGAGGGGAGCUUUCUUCUGCGUGAUCUUGGGGUUUUCUCACUCUGCCCUUCCUAUUUGUUCUCCUGGGAUGUUGGCUUGAUGAGGUCACCCUCAUGUUAGCUUUCACCUCAGUAGGGGACUUCCCUCAGGCUGCAAGGGCCCUCAGGGAUCUUUGACGUUCCUGCAAAUGAACAUCCCUUCCUCCAUUCCUUCCCUCUCAGAGGUCACCCACAGUCCAGGAUCCCGAUCUUUUGGGUAGAGGGUGAAGUUUUCUCUUACCUCAUUCCAUCUCCCCCAAGGGGUCUCCAACCUCUCCUCCCUCCAUUGCAUGGCUGCAUGGCUCUCUCGCACAUCUUUUGUGUUGUGUUUGGAUGUCCUCUGUUGGAGUGUGAAUGUCUUUUUCAUUGUAUGGUGGAAGAGAGAUUCUGAUAAAAUAUUUUGAACAGAAGGAUGAGAUUUCUACAUGCCCCCUGCAAAUCAGUUACCCAUGGUCAACCAUGGUCUGAAAAUAUUAAAUGGAAAACUCCAGGAAUAAACAAUUGUUCUCAGAGUCGGACCAGGACGUACACACUGGGCCCUGGUUCUCAGGCCUUCAGACUCAGACUGAACCACACCAGCAGCUCUCCUGGGUCUCCAGCUUGCAGACAGCAGAAGGCAGGACUUCUAAGCCUCCAUAACCAUACUCUCUCGUAGGAAGAAACAGCAGAGACGCUUCUGCUGCGAGGUCAGCAGAAGGAGGAAGAGUUUCCUGUAAGGACGCCCAGCACUAAGGAACACAGGGACCCAUGACACUCCUCGGAAGGGAAGCCAAGAACGAGCUCACGGAGCGAGCGGGACGCUCCGGGGAGGCUGGCGGCGGAGCUCGAGGUCUCCCGAUCAAAUCCUAGUGACCACAGGCAAGGAGACAGCACAUGGGCACUGGAGCCAGAUAGGACCAAAUGUUACAUUCUGGUUUCACCACUGACACCACUUCUGGAUCCUUAAUCAAGUUUCUUGGUGUCUCUCAUCUUCCUUUUCAUCAUCUGUGAAAUGGAGAUAAAAUAAGAGCAUUGAGGUCAACAUUACAUGGUCAUCAGAAGUGGGAUCCAGAGAAAACCCCCAACAACUCUGAGGCUGGACAAGGUCCGCUUCUGCUGUUGGUCCCCUCCUGAUGAGAGGCUGUAAGAGGUUUUUCCCUAGUUUUCUGUUAUAUCAAAAUUAUUUCCUGUGCUUUAUUUUAAAGAUUUUAUUUUUUCCUUUUUCUCCCCAAAGCCCCCCUGUACACAGUUGUAUAUUCUUCAUUGUGGGUCCUUCUAGUUGUGGCAUGUGGGACGCUGCCUCAGUGUGGUCUGAUGAGCAGUGCCAUGUCCAUGCCCAGGAUUCGAACCAACGAAACACUGGGCUGCCUGCAGCGGAGCGCGCGAACUUAACCGCUCAGCCACGGGGCCAGCCCCUCCUGUGCUUUAUUUUAAAGGCUGAGUCUUUUCUAUUAAAAAGUGCUAAGGUUUUGCAGCUAUGUAACCUUCUAUAUUUGUCUUUGAAAUCCUUUUGUUACUGGUUAAAUGGAUAAUUAAAUAUUGUUUCAUAAUUUUCUGUGAUCCUAUUUGGUCUUAUGUCCAAAGCCUUUUGACAUUUUUGACAAACUUCCCAAAAAUCAAAUUCUAAAUAAAGUCUUUUUGACCUGAAAAUAACUUUGGGAAUUUCCAGACGGUGCCUGGGACUUCUCAAAGGAUUUGUUCUCUCUUCCUAUAAAAAGGGAAAUGUUGAACUAAUUGGAC
ensembl:lncRNA